CCUACGGGGGGCAGCAGUAGGGAAUCUUCCACAAUGGGCGAAAGCCUGAUGGAGCAACGCCGCGUGGGUGAAGAAGGUCUUCGGAUCGUAAAACCCUGUUGUUAGAGAAGAAAGUGUGUGAGAGUAACUGUUCACGUUUCGACGGUAUCUAACCAGAAAGCCACGGCUAACUACGUGCCAGCAGCCGCGGUAAUACGUAGGUGGCAAGCGUUAUCCGGAUUUAUUGGGCGUAAAGGGAACGCAGGCGGUCUUUUAAGUCUGAUGUGAAAGCCUUCGGCUUAACCGGAGUAGUGCAUUGGAAACUGGGAGACGUGAGUGCAGAAGAGGAGAGUGGAACGCCAUGUGUAGCGGUGAAAUGCGUAGAUAGAGGGAAGAACACCAGUGGCGAAAGCGGCUCUCUGGUCUGUAACUGACGCUGAGGUUCGAAAGCGUGGGUAGCAAACAGGAUUAGAUACCCUGGUAGUC
rnacentral:rRNA from 1 species